rnacentral:rRNA from 1 species
UGGGGAAUAUUGGACAAUGGGCGAAAGCCUGAUCCAGCAAUGCCGCGUGUGUGAAGAAGGUCUUCGGAUUGUAAAGCACUUUCGACGGGGACGAUGAUGACGGUACCCGUAGAAGAAGCCCCGGCUAACUUCGUGCCAGCAGCCGCGGUAAUACGAAGGGGGCUAGCGUUGCUCGGAAUGACUGGGCGUAAAGGGCGCGUAGGCGGUUGAUGCAGUCAGAUGUGAAAUCCCCGGGCUUAACCUGGGAACUGCAUUUGAGACGCAUUGACUAGAGUUCGAGAGAGGGUUGUGGAAUUCCCAGUGUAGAGGUGAAAUUCGUAGAUAUUGGGAAGAACACCGGUGGCGAAGGCGGCAACCUGGCUCGAUACUGACGCUGAGGCGCGAAAGCGUGGGGAGCAAA